AUGAACAAGGACUCCUGCUCAGCUCCUGACCGACCCUUCUCCCUCCCCACUCCCAGAUCGCGAUGGACUUGGCCUGCCCCUGCUGCUGCUGCCAGCAGCCCUACGAAGGUCUUCCUCAGAACUGAGACCUCUUGCUCCCUGUUUCACCAGGUCCCCUCUGGAGGAAGGGGAAGGAAGAGACACGGCUUUUCCUGUGCCUUUUGCCGGGCUCGACUUGUUCUGCCUGCGGCUUCCUGGGAACUCGAGGGCCGCGGCCGGCCUGGCUCUGCCCACGGCCUGAUUGGAGCUGGACCGGAGCAGUUUGGGACUCGUAACAGCGGACACUUCGUUCACAAAGAUACCUUACACUCUGCAAUGGCUGUGGUAUCAAGACUCUGUGGCAAAAUGGAACCUCAAGAUUCGUCUUUAGAAAUUUGUGUAGAAUCUCUGUCUAGUUUACUGAAACAUGAAGAUCAUCAGGUUUCAGAUGGAGCACUGUGAUGUUUUGCCUCACUAGCAGACCGAUUUACUGGUCAUGGUGUGGACCCAGCUCCUUUAGCCAAACAUGGAUUAACUGAGGAACUCUUAUCUCGAAUGGCAGCUGCUGGUGGCACUGUAUCAGGACCCUCAUCAGCAUGCAAACCAGGUCUCAGCACCAUUGGAGCCCCUUCCACAACUGCAGACUCCAAAUUGAGUAACCAAGUGUCAACGAUUGUAAAUUUGCUCUCAACGCUUUGCAGUGGCUCUCCAGUAGGAUCACACGAUCUCCUGAGGUCAGAGCUUUCAGAUUCAAUUGAGAAUUCCUUACAGGGUAAUGAAAGAUGUGUGCUUGAUACCAUGCGUUUGGUUGAUCUUCUGUUGGUGCUACUAUUUGAAGGAUGAAAGGCUUUGCCUAAGUUUAGUGCUGGAUCUAUAGGCAGAAUCCCAGGACUUUGGAGACUGAAUAGUUCUGGGGAGCGUUCCCAUCAGCAGCUUAUAGACUAUAUUCGAAGUAAAGAUACUGAUGCACUUAUAGAUGCAAUUGACACAGGAGCCUUUGAAGUAAACUUUAUGGAUGAUGUGGGUCAGACUUUACUAAACUGUGCCUCUGCUUUUGGAACUCAGGAAAUGGUAGAAUUUCUUUGUGAGAGAGGUGCUGAUGUUAACAGAGAUCAAAGGUCAUCAUCAUUACAUUAUGCUGCCUGUUUUGGAAGACCUCAAGUAACAAAUACUCUAUUAAGGCAUGGUGCAAAUCCAGAUUUAAGAGAUGAAGAUGGGAAAACUCCAUUAGAUAAAGCUCGUGAAAGGGCCCAUAGUGAAGUUGUGGCUGUUCUUCAAUCUCCUGGUGACUGGAUGUGCCCAGUUAAUAAAGGAGAUGAUAAGAGAAAGAAAGAUUAAAAAAAGGAUGAAGAAGAAUGUAAUGAGCCCAAAGGAGAUCCAGAAAUGGCACCAAUAUACUUGAAAAGGUUAUUGCCAGUGUUUGUGCAAAUAUUUCAGCAAACCAUGCUGCCUUCAAUAAGGAAAGCAAGUCUUGCUCUAAUCCGAAAAAUGAUUCAUUUUAGCUCUGAAGCACUGUUAAAAGAAGUUUGUGACUCUGAUGUUGGUCAUAAUUUGCCUACAUUAUUAGUGAAAUCACUGCAACUGUUCUUGAUCAAAAGGAUGAUGAUGAUGGCACUUGCUUGCUUUGCAGAUCAUAAGAGAUAGUAGAUAAAGGUGGUGAUAUUUUUUUGGAUCAGCUAACCAGACUUGGUGUAAUUAGCGAAGUGUCAAGUUUGGCAGGUCCUUCCUCUGAUGAUGAAAACGAAGAGGAGUCAAAACCAGCAAAAGAGGAUGAACUACAGGAAGAUGCUAAAGAAUUGCAGCAAGGUAAACCCUAUCAUUGGAGAGACUGGUCAAUCAUUAGGGGAAGGGACUGCUUAUAUAUUUGGAGUGAUGCUGCAGAUUUGGAAUUAUCUAAUGGAAGUAAUGGAUGGUUCAGAUUUAUCCUGGAUGGAAAACUUGCUACCCUGUAUUCAAGUGGUAGCCCUAAAGGUAGAUCAGAUAGUUCAGAAAACAGAAGUGAAUUCCUAGAGAAACUACAAAGAGCUUGAGGGCAAGUAAAGCCAUCUACUUCAAGUCAACCUAUACUAUCAGCACCAGGACCCACUAAACUUACUGUUGGGAAUUGGUCACUAACAUGCUUAAAAGAAAGAGAAAUUGCUAUUAAUAACUCAGAUGAUCAGCACGCAACAAUAUUUAAAGAAAAUUUACCUGGUUUUGUAUUUGAAUCUAAUAGAGGAACCAAACAUUCAUUUACUGCAGAAACUUCUCUGGGUUCAGAAUUUGUGACUGGCUGGAAUGGCAAAAGAGGCAGAAAACUGAAAUAUAAGUUGGAAAAAAACAAAGCAAAAGGAACGAACUAUGGCUUGAGAUUUAUAUGACGAUCACUUUAAAGCUGUUGAAAGCAUACCUCGAGGAGUAGUGGUAACAU